ACGCACGCUGGCGGCGUGCUUAACCCCUGCAAGUCGCACGGAAAGGCCCUGCUUUUGUGGGGUGCUCGAGUGGCGAACGGGUGAGUAACACGUGAGUAACCUGCCCUUGACUUUGGGAUAACUUCAGGAAACUGGGGCUAAUACCGGAUAGGAGCUCCUGCUGCAUGGUGGGGGUUGGAAGGUUUCGGCGGUUGGGGAUGGACUCGCGGCUUAUCAGCUUGUUGGUGGGGUAGUGGCUUACCAAGGCUUUGACGGGUAGCCGGCCUGAGAGGGUGACCGGCCACAUUGGGACUGAGAUACGGCCCAGACUCCUACGGGAGGCAGCAGUGGGGAAUAUUGCACAAUGGGCGGAAGCCUGAUGCAGCAACGCCGCGUGCGGGAUGACGGCCUUCGGGUUGUAAACCGCUUUCGCCUGUGACGAAGCGUGAGUGACGGUAAUGGGUAAAGAAGCACCGGCUAACUACGUG
rnacentral:rRNA from 1 species